UUAAGCGACUAAGCGUACACGGUGGAUGCCCUGGCAGUCAGAGGCGAUGAAGGACGUGCUAAUCUGCGAUAAGCGUCGGUAAGGUGAUAUGAACCGUUAUAACCGGCGAUUUCCGAAUGGGGAAACCCAGUGUGAUUCGUCACACUAUCAUUAACUGAAUCCAUAGGUUAAUGAGGCGAACCGGGGGAACUGAAACAUCUAAGUACCCCGAGGAAAAGAAAUCAACCGAGAUUCCCCCAGUAGCGGCGAGCGAACGGGGAGGAGCCCAGAGCCUGAAUCAGUGUGUGUGUUAGUGGAAGCGUCUGGAAAGGCGCGCGAUACAGGGUGACAGCCCCGUACACAAAAAUGCACAUGCUGUGAGCUCGAUGAGUAGGGCGGGACACGUGGUAUCCUGUCUGAAUAUGGGGGGACCAUCCUCCAAGGCUAAAUACUCCUGACUGACCGAUAGUGAACCAGUACCGUGAGGGAAAGGCGAAAAGAACCCCGGCGAGGGGAGUGAAAAAGAACCUGAAACCGUGUACGUACAAGCAGUGGGAGCCUCUUUAUGGGGUGACUGCGUACCUUUUGUAUAAUGGGUCAGCGACUUAUAUUCUGUAGCAAGGUUAACCGAAUAGGGGAGCCGAAGGGAAACCGAGUCUUAACUGGGCGUUAAGUUGCAGGGUAUAGACCCGAAACCCGGUGAUCUAGCCAUGGGCAGGUUGAAGGUUGGGUAACACUAACUGGAGGACCGAACCGACUAAUGUUGAAAAAUUAGCGGAUGACUUGUGGCUGGGGGUGAAAGGCCAAUCAAACCGGGAGAUAGCUGGUUCUCCCCGAAAGCUAUUUAGGUAGCGCCUCGUGAACUCAUCUCCGGGGGUAGAGCACUGUUUCGGCAAGGGGGUCAUCCCGACUUACCAACCCGAUGCAAACUGCGAAUACCGGAGAAUGUUAUCACGGGAGACACACGGCGGGUGCUAACGUCCGUCGUGAAGAGGGAAACAACCCAGACCGCCAGCUAAGGUCCCAAAGUCAUGGUUAAGUGGGAAACGAUGUGGGAAGGCCCAGACAGCCAGGAUGUUGGCUUAGAAGCAGCCAUCAUUUAAAGAAAGCGUAAUAGCUCACUGGUCGAGUCGGCCUGCGCGGAAGAUGUAACGGGGCUAAACCAUGCACCGAAGCUGCGGCAGCGACGCUUAUGCGUUGUUGGGUAGGGGAGCGUUCUGUAAGCCUGUGAAGGUGUGCUGUGAGGCAUGCUGGAGGUAUCAGAAGUGCGAAUGCUGACAUAAGUAACGAUAAAGCGGGUGAAAAGCCCGCUCGCCGGAAGACCAAGGGUUCCUGUCCAACGUUAAUCGGGGCAGGGUGAGUCGACCCCUAAGGCGAGGCCGAAAGGCGUAGUCGAUGGGAAACAGGUUAAUAUUCCUGUACUUGGUGUUACUGCGAAGGGGGGACGGAGAAGGCUAUGUUGGCCGGGCGACGGUUGUCCCGGUUUAAGCGUGUAGGCUGGUUUUCCAGGCAAAUCCGGAAAAUCAAGGCUGAGGCGUGAUGACGAGGCACUACGGUGCUGAAGCAACAAAUGCCCUGCUUCCAGGAAAAGCCUCUAAGCAUCAGGUAACAUCAAAUCGUACCCCAAACCGACACAGGUGGUCAGGUAGAGAAUACCAAGGCGCUUGAGAGAACUCGGGUGAAGGAACUAGGCAAAAUGGUGCCGUAACUUCGGGAGAAGGCACGCUGAUAUGUAGGUGAAGUCCCUCGCGGAUGGAGCUGAAAUCAGUCGAAGAUACCAGCUGGCUGCAACUGUUUAUUAAAAACACAGCACUGUGCAAACACGAAAGUGGACGUAUACGGUGUGACGCCUGCCCGGUGCCGGAAGGUUAAUUGAUGGGGUCAGCGCAAGCGAAGCUCUUGAUCGAAGCCCCGGUAAACGGCGGCCGUAACUAUAACGGUCCUAAGGUAGCGAAAUUCCUUGUCGGGUAAGUUCCGACCUGCACGAAUGGCGUAAUGAUGGCCAGGCUGUCUCCACCCGAGACUCAGUGAAAUUGAACUCGCUGUGAAGAUGCAGUGUACCCGCGGCAAGACGGAAAGACCCCGUGAACCUUUACUAUAGCUUGACACUGAACAUUGAGCCUUGAUGUGUAGGAUAGGUGGGAGGCUUAGAAGUGUGGACGCCAGUCUGCAUGGAGCCGACCUUGAAAUACCACCCUUUAAUGUUUGAUGUUCUAACGUUGACCCGUAAUCCGGGUUGCGGACAGUGUCUGGUGGGUAGUUUGACUGGGGCGGUCUCCUCCUAAAGAGUAACGGAGGAGCACGAAGGUUGGCUAAUCCUGGUCGGACAUCAGGAGGUUAGUGCAAUGGCAUAAGCCAGCUUGACUGCGAGCGUGACGGCGCGAGCAGGUGCGAAAGCAGGUCAUAGUGAUCCGGUGGUUCUGAAUGGAAGGGCCAUCGCUCAACGGAUAAAAGGUACUCCGGGGAUAACAGGCUGAUACCGCCCAAGAGUUCAUAUCGACGGCGGUGUUUGGCACCUCGAUGUCGGCUCAUCACAUCCUGGGGCUGAAGUAGGUCCCAAGGGUAUGGCUGUUCGCCAUUUAAAGUGGUACGCGAGCUGGGUUUAGAACGUCGUGAGACAGUUCGGUCCCUAUCUGCCGUGGGCGCUGGAGAACUGAGGGGGGCUGCUCCUAGUACGAGAGGACCGGAGUGGACGCAUCACUGGUGUUCGGGUUGUCAUGCCAAUGGCACUGCCCGGUAGCUAAAUGCGGAAGAGAUAAGUGCUGAAAGCAUCUAAGCACGAAACUUGCCCCGAGAUGAGUUCUCCCUGACCCUUUAAGGGUCCUGAAGGAACGUUGAAGACGACGACGUUGAUAGGCCGGGUGUGUAAGCGCAGCGAUGCGUUGAGCUAACCGGUACUAAUGAACCGUGAGGCUUAACCUU
rnacentral:rRNA from 1 species